rnacentral:lncRNA from 1 species
AUCAAAGACACUUUGGUAACGUAGGCUACAGCGAAUGCUCUAGUUUUGGUUGAUAAAGAGUGAUACCUGCAUAUGAGUUGAGAAGUCCCCUCUUUAAAAAUUGAAGUUUGAGUUGUUAUAUUUGUUUUGAUUUUUGGAAAAANAGAGGUGCAAUAUUUUGUUUACGUGGUAAUUGGCUGGUUCAAAUAUUCAAAUGCACUUGUCUGAUCAGUCUGAGAUUACUUUAGGUUACUUUGAAUUAAUUGCCAGGUUGACGAUGUGAUUAACCUGAACUCUUGCUGCUCAUUGUCAGAUUUCCCAAUUUGGAUUUUAAUUUUUAAGAAUAUAUGCAUCUAUCCUUUUAGUUUAUUAUAUUCCCUUCUGUAGUCCAAACUUUCUCCCCCCCUCUUUAAUUCUUCUAGAGAUAUGUUGGAUAUAGCAUACAAUGAUUAUUGAAUAUACGUCUUUUCUAGUUCCAUUACUUGUAUUCAUCUCUGUUUUUAUUUUUUUCAUUUAUAUUUGGGAAGUAAAUGGUUGAUCCGUGGGAGUGUUAUACUCUUGCUAUAUUAAUUAUUUUUUGGGUUUUCAGUCCAUCUUUCCUGUUCCAGCUGNUUUAUAUAUGUAAGUUGGUUGAUGUAGCCCAUUUAAAAAACGAGCAGUGGAAGCUCGUCCAAAUAAGGUAAUGAAAGCUCAAGCCAUAAGUUAUUUAAAAGCCUAACAAUUUAAGAAAUUAAAUUUAAGUAAAUUUGAUUACAAAGAUUUAAUUAACAAUUGGGUUGUCACAAUGGUCAUUUACAUGAUAUUUCACAUAGGCAAUUCAGUUUCGAAUUGCCAUGUAGAUAUUUUUAUAAAAUAUUUUUCAGUUAAAAACUCCUCAUUUUGCAUAUCAAGAACAAUUAUAUCACGUUAAUUGGAUGAAAUAAUUUUUUUAUUAGUGGGCAUUCAUAGAGAUAGGUUACAAAUCAUAUGAAUAGUUCAUUUUCCACUAUUUUUCAUUAUGUAAAUGUUUUAUAAAUUUUUUUAUAAGAAAUAUUUUUAUGGUUUAAACCUUUUUAAAUUUUUAGUUAAAGACUCAAUAUAACAAGGUUGAUGAUAAUAAAACUCACCCAUUUAGUUUUUCACUAAAAAUUGAGGUUAUAAAAAGAGGAUGUUACUUUUUUAUUAUAUCUCUUAUCAAAUUCGAAUUUACUCUUAUUUUCUCUCAAAAAUAUCUUUUAUAUUAAGUUAAGUUUAAUGGAAUAGCAAGGAUGUGAAGAAGAAAUGUUUUUACACAUUUUUAACAUUUAUACUUUAAGAAAAAUAAAGGUGGGUAUAGAUGGAAGUGAUUAUUUCAUUUUCAAGUUAUAAUUUUUCGUUGAAAGUACGAAAGAAUUUGGUACCUUUGGGUAUGAUACUUCGGCACUAAUAUAGUUUAAAUGAUCAUCCUUUGGCCCUACGUGUUAUGAUAAAAUUGGAUUUUGUCGAAAAUCCAUCUAUGUGCGAUGACAUGAAUCUAUAAUUUGAAUUUUCUAAUUUAAUAUCAAAAUGUAUCGAUGAUAUCUAUUGAGUUUCAAACUCAAGGGUGUUCCCUCCCUACAUGUUGAUUUGAUUUGCUUAGAGAGUGGAUGAUGGUAGAUGAAGAUGCAACAUGCUAUGGAGAAGUAAGUGACUUAAUAUUUUUAUUCGAUUAUGAAAUGUUUACGUGUUUUUUUUUUAAAUAAAUAGAUUUCUAUGAAAAUCUUUUGUGGCACUAUUUUCAGAAAUUUUUUAUGAAUUAGAUAUGUUCAAAAGUAAUUAUGUUUUAUAGAAAUUAACAUACAAGUAACAUUUCACCACAAAAACGUGAGCGAUAAGAUUUAUUAUUGCUUUUUUUUUUUUAAUUUCAACUUCUGUCAUUGAUUUCAAAAAUUCGUAACUCAAUCAUUACUUGAAAAUUUUGGACCAAACUAGCGGGGUUUGGUAACGUAAUGGGUUAGCUACUGAAUAACUUGAAAUCUUGUCCAUCCGAUGUCUAUAGAAUUUUAUAUGUUAUUUUAAGUAAAUUGUACUGGUUUAUCCCAUUGUAUAAGAAGUUUCCUACUUUCUCUUAAAAUUUCGUGAAGUUUCGAGAUUGAUAACUAUGUAAACGAAUUUAUUUUGACACUUGCCAUGUGAAAUAGAAAAAUAGAUCAUCUUAGUUUUAUUUACUGUUUAAAGAUGUGCAUUUAUGAAAAAAUUUAUUUAAAACCUUUUAUUUAAUUGGUAAACACAUGCAUGCAAUUGUCAAUGUAAUAAAAUAGGUAAUAUGCAUGGAGAAAAAUGUAUUGUUUAAAAGAAAAACAUAAUUAUUAAGUAAAUUCUUAAAUUAAAUCAUUAUGUUUUCCGCCAAUUACUAAGCCUGGUGAUAAGGUACAAUUAUUUUAGUUACGUUUCGGUCCAUUCGGGCGGGAUCAUUACAAAAGUCAGGGCAGAUGAAGGUGAAAUUGUUGGUAAGGACAACAAUGAAAAUAUGAUUGUAUGGAGAGUCAAUGAUGAAUCGAAGAAGUGUAACCAGUAUCUAAAAUGCAGAAUUGCAAACUCCAUUUUCAAUCCACCAUGAAGGGUCUAAAAGUUACAAGAGUUGAGCUAAGGAUUUUAAACAAGCACUUGUUGGAAGGCAACACAACACUUCUAUCCAUUUUAUUUAUUUUGCUUUUUAUAUUUAGAAUAGUUUUUUAUGAUAAUUUAGAUUAAUCUUUAUUCGAUUUUAGGGACUCAUUAUCUACACCUCACUUUCUCUUAGUUCCUCGAUAUGUUAGUUGGUUUAUUAGAUACUUGAGUUAAGUAAUACUUGUUCCAGAUAUUUGGUCUUUAAUAUUUUAUCUAAUGACAUCGUGCAGGAACAUGAUGUCCUAGAAGAUCUAAACUGACAUUGAUUAAGGAGACAACGAGAGUACUAGGAUAAGCUUGCCAUUGAAUUUCACGCCAUAUGAUGUAAGUAUUUUUUUCAUUUUCUUUUCCAUCCCUUUAUAUGUGGACUUAGAAUUCUAGAAAUUGAAGACAAUAUCUAAUUUAAGUUUGAGGAUGAAAAACAUGAGUUUUCUUUUGUUGUAUGUUUUAUUGCUUUAAAUAAAUUUUGAAAAGUUCCAAAAACAUUUUCUUUAUACGUGCUUGCAUGAGUUAGUUGAUCUAGUUGACAAUGAGGAAUAUAUCGAAUUAUGAAUUGAUCUAUGAAUUGUGAAUAUGUUGCAUGCUUAGGUCAAUUUUUGCUUUUUUAUGUGAAGUUUGAUAUAUAUUGAGUACAUAAAUUAGGUUAAGCAUUGUGUAGGAGUGAGUUGAUUUUAUAAUUGGAUAAGUUAAAACAAUGGACCAUAGAUGUUGAACCCAAAAUCACUAAAUUUUACAUUUUUAGAUGAAAUUUAGAAUAGCUUGGGGAUUUCACUGUUGUAAGAAGAUUUUGAGAUAAAUGGGAAUUUCAUAUGUGAAAUUAAAAAUCUUAUGUGGAUUGUUUAAGGUUAAUAGGAUGAAAUUGGGUGAAAAUCUCAAGUGAGAGGCCGGUUUACUUGAGCAGAUGUUUAAUGAGGGACAUUGCACUAAUAAAAAAAAAACAUUUUAUUUGAAAAUUUCUCUUCAUAGCCUUCAUGGCUCGAGAUAUUAAACCUGUAAAGGUGUUAAAACCUAUAGCUUAAAGUUAACUGACUUGGGAGUCAUUGACCUAAAACUUUUUACAUGAGUCAUUUCAAAAGGUUAAGGAAGAAAAUGCUGCAAAUGAAAAAUUGAGAAAAAAAAAUAGAAAAAGUAGGUGCAUGAAAUAGAAAAUGCACCAAAUACUUUGGUUAAAUCUCAAAUACUUGUUUAAGAAACAUUGAUUUUUGAUAAGAUAUUAUUAGCCAAGUUGAGUUCUGGAUAUUGAAGCAAUCAAAUUAUAGAGAUUCUUUAUUUAUUGACAUAUCGACUUGCAAUUAAUGAGAUUUAUUUAAACUAGAUAUAUGAGGAUAGAAUAAAAAUUCAACAAUAGAUCACACACUUGAAAAGAACGAAAAGAAUAAGUUAGGGAUAUGUAAAACUUACGAGUGAUGAAAAAUAUAUUUGACCAUUGAGGGUUGAGAAUUGAAACAACAUACAAAUUCAUAAUGCUAUACUUACUUCUUCACAUACAUAUGAUUUUACAUCGAAAAAGUAGAUUUUAAUUUUUGUAUUGUGAUUUUGAAGUUGUGUAUAGAUUUGAUAUUAUGGCACUAGAUAUUAGAACGCGCCAAAAUCAACACAUGGGGAAUACAUAUUAGGAAUAAUAUCUAUAGCAUAUGCAAUCAUGUGUGAUAAAUUCCAUGAAUCAAUACAUAUUUUUCAUAUGAAUUCGGACUGAGAAUAGGAUUGGGUCGUUUUAAAAUAUAGGUUUAAUAUAUAUUGAAAAAUAAUAUUGAAUAAAAGUGGAUUAUCGAUUGUUUUUAAUGCAUGAAUUUAUUAGAUUACGAAUUAAGAAUUGAAUUAAAUGGCAACAGAGGGAUUCAAGAUUCCAAUACAAAUAUUUACAUAUUAGAUAAAUAUUUUAUUUACUUUCUUCGUAUAGGAUUAGUAUAUAAAACACACCAAACAUCUCUUUCGAUAUUACAUGACUUAGAAUUUGAUAAAAGCUAUUGAAUUAGAUAUUGGGUCUUAUUUCUCGUGGGAACGAUAAAUUCGAAACUUAAUUAUUUCAAUUACUUGUUGAUGCUACCAAAAAUCGUACCUGAUGAUUUUCCGAGCUUGAUGAUUCUGGUUGAUCACGAUCGUGGUCUUCCGGUACCUGAAACAAAGGCAACGAGGUGUGUUCUCGUCGCCCCUCCGAUGUUUAAGUCAGAAAGGGAAAUAUAUGCGUGAGGCUAUGUGCUGAAGAACAAUGAAAAAACGUACCUGAAUAAUGGCCCAAGGUUCUGCUUUUAUAGGGGUAGGUAGUGUACUCCUAGUAGGAUCGUGUUGGUUGGAUGUUUUUAUCCAAGGGAAUUUCUAUUUAUAAAGAGUGUCCUACUUGUAAUGGAAUUGUUUGACAAGCGGUAUCAGGGUUGAUGUAAAAUCCUUGGGUGUUUAGGUUUGUUUGUUAGGUACCCAAGUCUUAGGAGGCAUGUAGGUGGCGUAUGUCUCGAGGACUAUUCUCGAGGACUUGAGAGAAUGUAAAUAUGUCCUCGAGGUAUCUCGAGGACUACGAUACCUUGAGGACUUAGGGAGACCCGAGGACCAUAGCAGAGAAAUGAGAUGGGGUAUACAUGGAGUCCUCGGGAUAAACUCCUCGGGGUAUAUCAAUAUUGUCAUAGUCACUGGCCCCCGUGCACUCGUCCUAGAGAUCGAGCUCUUAGGAUGGGGUGCACAUGGGUUAUGUCAUUUCUUGAACCUUCGUCGAGAAGUGAUGGCUGAUGAUAUAGGUCGAGAUAUGACCGUUGCAGAGAGUGGCUUGGAUUUGUGACACGUGUCUUCGUGGACAGUCGUAGAUAGCGACCUUGGGCCUCCCAUAGUUUUCACCUAUAAAUAUUGUUGUUCUCACCUUUAUUUUUCACUUUUACCCACUAUAAAUCAGAGUUCUGCGAGGUCGUGCUCGAGAAAAAUACUUUGGGAACUUCUCAAGUCGUCGGGAACUCCAGGUAAGGCUCGAGACUUUAAGUUAUUCAUAAGCUAGGUCUUAAGUUUGCUAAGUGAUGUCGAGUAGUGAGGGUCGAGAAUCUUCUAGUAGUUCUAGUAGUAGUGAGGACGUAGGGACCUCGAUAAUACCGACGGCUAUUCCCCUAGAGGCUACUACCGAGGCCCAGGUUAAUAUGAUUUUUGAGUAUCCCGACGAACCCUGUAGGCUUAAAGAGCACUCGGUCAUAGCUGCAGCUAGGGAAUAUGGUAUAAUGCCUAAUUGCGAUGUUAGAUUUCCUGACCCCGAGGAUAGGAUUGUUCGAGCACGACGAGGGGAGUUUGUUAUUUUUGGGGAGACCCUUAAGGCUGGCUUUAGGUGGCCCCUUCACCCCUUCUUUAUUGCUCUAUUAGUCGAGCACUCCAUGUGCCCAGGGCAGUUAGUGCCCAACGUCUGGAGAAUGCUCGUUUAUUUUUUUAUAGCAUGUAGAUACUUAGGUAUCGAGCCCAACAUUGGCCUCAGCAAAUUAGUGUUCGAGCUUAAGAAGCAUCCUCGAUACACUUGUUUUGGCUAUCUCUCGACGAUUGGGGAUUUUAAAGUCCCGAGGAUGGCGAGCUCUUUGAAGGGGUGGAGGGAGGGGUGGUUUUAUGUUAUAGCCCCAGAACCCGAUCUUCCUUUCUGGCCUCAUUGGGGAAUCCCCGACGCUGAGAAGUUCUAUGAGGGCCAGGUGUAUCCGGAUGUUUUGGAAGAGCAUAGGAGGAUGCUGGUCGGGCUCAGCCCCCUUUUCUUGACGAUGAAGGAGAUUGGGGAAGAGGUUAUAGACCUGGCAGAUAUUAGAGCCGUCGAGGGUAGGGAUGUUCCUUUAUUAUUAUUUUUUGAAAAAUACCCUGACCUUGUGCUCGUUCUAAAAUGUUUGUAAAUUAUUGUAGGUAUGUCUUUUGAUUCUCGGGCUCUUCGAAACUUUGUCAGCACAAGGGCAAACGCUCAUCCACAGGGGCAACCCCCGAGGAAGAAAAGCAAGAAGAGGCCUCGAGGGACUCCUGAGGGUGCGAGGGGGCCUGGAGAAACUUCUCGAGCACAUCCACAAGUCUCGACCCCUCUGCAACCAAACCUUAGAUCUCCCACUCCUCGGGUUGUCACUCCUCGGCCUCCUUCUGAAGUGGUUAACCUUGACGAUGACCCGUCUCUCACCGGGGACUUUGAGACUUGCCAUCUCGCUCCUGAGCUCGUAAAUAAAUACAAGGAGGAGGUCAAGCUCGAGGAUGGGAUGAAGGUCCUCGAGGGUCUUACAGUGAAGGUAAUCUUCGGGCUUUCGACUUUAAUCUCAAGUUUUUUUUUUGUCAAGAUUAAUACUUGUCAUUUUCUUCAUUUUUUCCAGAUGUUGAGUAUAGCUCGAGGACUUUCUCUGCAAAGGCUCGAGGAGGCCAAGAGGGUAGCUGGGGUCGAGACGUCCAUGGCCUCUAAGGACAGCAGGAUUCAAGACCUCGAGGCACAGGUCGAGGUUUUAUUGAAGGAGCGUGAUGACGCGAGGAGGGAGGCUGCAAAGGCCAGGGAUGACCUGGUUGUAGCAAAGGAUAAGGUCAAGGGCGCGAGGCUCGAGCUCAUCCAGAAGACAGAGGAUUUUGGGCGCGAGCUCGCGACUGUCAGUGAGAGGGCCUGGGAGGAGUUUAAAACCUCCGAGGACUGCAACAAGAUAAAAGGGGAGUACGCGUCGGGGGCGUACUUCCAUGCUCUGAAAGAAGCCCGGGCCUUCCUCCGUCAGAAGUUGCCCGACGUCACUCCGGACAACCUGAAGACAUUGCCUUCCAUUGCUAAUACAUUGGAGCUCUCAGGUUCGGAAGAUGGAGGAGGAUCGGGUGGAGAUGAUGAGGAUGGUCUUGAGGACGACGUUGAGAUCGACAUCAGCAACCUCGACCCUCCUCUUGGCCACAUUGGAUGACUUCCCCGCCCCGAUCUUUUGUAAUUUUUGUUUAACUUUGUCCAUGUAAAUUGAUCGAAGACUAUGUAUGUUCUAAUGUUAAUUUAUUCGAACUAUUUAUCUCGACCCCUUGGACUCCAUACAUUCGAGCAAACAAAUUGGAAACUAACUGCUUAUGCGACAUUGAAGUGUUUACUCGAGGAUUCCACAACUCGAGCGUAUUUAAGGGAUUAAAAAGUGAGUGACAUUCUCGAGGACUAUAAUCCUCGAACACAACUAAUCUCAAAAAAUGAUAAUGUGACAUUUUCGAGCACAACUCAUCCUAAAAAAUGAUAAUGCGACAUUCUCGAGGACCUCUAAGCCUCGAGCACAACUAAACUUAUAAAGUUGGGUUGUGCUUUCCUCGAGGACUGUAAACCUCGAGCACAAACUAACUAAAAAGGCUAUAAUGUGAAAUUCUCGAGGACUAUAAACCUCGAGCACAACUAACUUAAAAAGCUAUAAUGUGAAAUUCUCGAGGACUAUAAACCUAUAAUGUGAAAUUCUCGAGGACUAUAAACAUCGAGCGCAACUAACUUAAAAAGCUAUAAUGUGAAAUUCUCGAGGCCUAUAAACCUCGAGCACAACUAACUUAAAAAGUUGGGUUGUGAUAUUCUCGGGAGUGUCAAAAAUGAUGUGGGGCUUUUGUAUGUCCCUGGGUGAUACUAUAACGGUUUACGCUUGAGUAUAUGAUCAAUGCUUUUUGUGCUUGGCUGGGGCAAGGCUUUCUUAAGUGCUUGCUUGGGGCAAGGCUUUUUUGAGUGCUUGCUCGGGGCAAGGCUUUUUGUGCUUGCUCGGGGCAAGGAUUUUUUGAGUGCUUGCUCGGGGCAAGGCUUUUUGUGCUUGCGCGGGGCAAGGCUUUUUUGUGAGCUUGCGUGGGGCAAGGCUUUGGGGCUUGCUCGGGGCAAGGCUUUUGUGAUUCCUGGGUGCAAAGUUUUACUAAAGGGCUGUUAUAACUGAAGCUUGAAUUUACUAAUUUUUCGGACUGGACUUGGAUUUAUAUUGUAUCCAAACUGCCUACGUACCCAAACGGGAUCAAGCCGAACGUAGUUCAUUAUGAGAGAAAACAAAAAACAUGAUUGGGCACGCAAGCCCGCUAAACUAGAGAAAUAAAAUACAAGGGCGCGCCGGCCCGAGGAACCAAAAAUAAUAUUCAGAAGAAAAAAUGCAGGAAUAAAAAGAAAAUCUCCUAGAUGUCAUCGAGAAUGUUACUUGUAGUAUAAUUUCAGAUUAUCAGCGUUCCAGGGCCUUGGAAGAGGUCUACCCGAAGUGUCUUUUACACUGUAUGCUCCCUUGCGAACCUGUCGUAUGACCUCAAAGGGUCCUUCCCAGAUGGGCCCGAGCUUCCCAGGGGGGUGACCUGCAGCUUCGGCCCUUCUCAGGACCAAGUCGCCUCCUCUGAACCUCCGAGUCUUGACUUUGCUAUUAAAAUGUUUUGCUGUCUUAGUUUGGUAAGAGGCCACCUUUAUAGCGGCUUGCUCCCGCACUUCUUCCAAGAGAUCAAGAUGUUCAGUUGUAUGCUCCGAGGUUUCUGGCACGAGCCUCCUAUGGCUCGGGAGUCUAAUUUCUACCGGGACCAUUGCUUCAAUGCCAUAGGCUAACAUAAAGGGGGUUUCUCCUGUGGUUGUCCUAUGAGUUGUUCUAUACGUCCAAAGUAUAGAAGGCAGCUCGUCGGACCAAGAUCCCCUAGCAUUGCCUAUUCUUGUUCGGAGGUCUUGUAAUAUAAUUCGAUUUGUUACCUCGGCCAGACCAUUUCUCUGAGGAUGUGAAACUGAUGUCAGACGGUGAUCAAUCCCAAAGUUUGACCAAAAGUCCCUAAACUGUUGAUUGUCAAAUUGCCUGCCAUUGUCGGUGAUGAGGACCUUUGGUAUCCCAAACCUGUAAAUGAUAGAUCUCCAAGUGAAGGCGCUUAGCUUGGGCUCCGAUAUUGUGGCGAGAGGUUCGGCCUCUACCCAUUUUGUGAAGUACUCUAUUGCUACAGCAAUGAACUUUAAUUGACCUCUAGCCACAGGAAAGGGACCGAGGAUAUCGACUUCCCAUUGUUCAAACGGGGCCGAACAGUUAAUGUUGGUUAGGUCUUCGGCUGGUGAGUGGAUAACAUUACCAAACCUCUGGCACCUAUCACAUCUUUUAACAUAUUCUGAGGCGUCUUUUUUCAUAGUUGGCCAAUAGUACCCAUAUCGUACGAGUUUAAAGGCCAAGGCCCUGGCUCCUUGAUGAUUCCCGCACACACCUUCAUGAACUUCAGCAAGGGCCUGGGAUGACUCAGAUGGUCUCAGGCACCUUAGGUAUGGAAGAGUAAUACUUCUGCGGAAGAGGACACCGCUUAUCAUGCAGUACCUAGGAGCUCGAGUUCUGAUGCUUCUAGCCAACCUGGCAUCGCUUGGUAGAUUUCCACUUGUGAGGAAUUCGAUGAUUGGGUCCAUCCAGGAUGGUUCGUUGUCAAUGUCCAUGAUGUCGAGGAUUUGACUGAUGGUGGCUUCUGUGAUGAUUUUAAUGUGAACUGUUCUGUCAAGGCCGUCUACCCCCAUGAACACAAGCCUGGAUAAUGCAUCGGCUUUUCCGUUGUCCUUUCGAGCAAUCUUUGCAAUUUCACAACUCUUGAAUUUUCGUUGAAGAUCCUGAACCCUCAUACAGUACAAACUCAUUUUCUCGUCUUUCCUUUCAAAUGAACCUUCAAUUUGUCCGACCACCAGUUGUGAGUCGCUGAAUAUCUUUAUGAACUCUAGCUCAAGGCAAAGGGCUAGCUUAAGAGCAAUAACGACAGCCUCAUACUCGGCCUCGUUGUUGGUUGCUUCAAACUCGAACCUUAGAGCGCAUUGGAUUUCUGUUUGUUUGUCAGGGCUGAUGAUGAUGACCCCUGCGCCCGAGCCCGAGGAGUUGGAUGCUCCAUCCACAAAAAUUUGCCAAGUGUCCAAAUUAGUGCUCAUGCUCGAGCUAUCCCCUGUCUUCCGAGGCCUAGGGGUUAGUUCUGCAAUGAAGUCGGCCAGAGCUUGGGCUUUGAUAGAUGGGCGUGGUUUGAAUUCUAUGUCAAAUUCUCCAAGCUCGAUUGCCCAUUUCAUUAGUCUUCCCGAUACGUCCGGCUUCUGAAGUAUAUGCCUAAGUGGUUGAUUAGUGAGCACCACAAUGGGGUGAGACUGAAAAUACUGCCGGAGUUUCCGUGCUGCUAUAACCAAGGCAAGGGCAAGUUGUUCCGCCAAAGUAUACCUUGUUUCCGCAUCCAGUAGGACCUUGCUUACAUAGUAGAUAGGUUGCUGGAUUUUGUUAACCUCUUUCACCAAGACCCCGCUGACAGCGUUUUGAGAUACGGCCAAGUACAAAAAUAAGGUAUCACCAGGCUCAGGCCUAGUGAGAAUAGGAGGAGAUGCCAAUGUCUGCUUGAGCUCCUGAAAAGCUUUCUCACAGUCUUUACUCCAAUCAAAGCCUUGGUUUCCUCUGAGGACUUUGAAGAAGGGAUAACACCUGUCUGAUGCUCGGGACAUGAACCUGUUCAAGGCUGCUAUCCUGCCAGUCAACCUCUAUACCUCUUUCUUGUUCCUUAGUGAUUCCAUAGACGCCAAGGCUUGUAUUUUGUCAGGGUUGGCCUCUAUCCCCCGGUGAGUGAUCAUAAAGCCCAAGAACUUGCCCGAGGCCACGCCGAAUGCACACUUUGCGGGGUUCAACUUCAUUCCGUACUUUCGCAAGGUGUCGAAAACCUCUUCAAGAUCUGAAAUAUGCUGGUCCACCUGUUUGCUCUUGACCACCAUGUCAUCAACGUACGCCUCCACUUUCCUUCCAAUCAAGUUAGCAAAGACUUUGUUGAUGAGUCUUUGGUAUGUUGCCCCUGCAUUCUUCAAACCGAAAGGCAUGACCUUAUAAUAGUAUAUGGCGGAAUCGGCCAUGAAUGAUGUCUUUUCUUGAUCUUCCUCGGCCAUGAGGAUUUGAUGAUAACCAGAAAAUGCAUCCAAGAAGCUGUACAACUUAUGUCCGGACGUGCUAUCCACCAAGUUGUCAAUCCGUGGUAGGGGAUAACUAUCCUUUGAACAUGCUUUGUUAAGAUCUGUGAAGUCAAUGCAGACCCUCCACUUACCAUUGGCCUUCUUUACUAAAACAACAUUGGCAAGCCAAUCGGGAUAUUGGACCUCCCGAAUGAACUGAGCACUGACGAGUUUGUUAAUUUCUUCGCGAAUGACCUCCCGACGUUCUGGGGCAAACUGUCUUUUCCUCUGCUUUACUGGGCUAAUGUUAAGCCUAUGGACUGCAGUUUUAGGGUCUAUCACUGACAUAUCCUCAACCUUCCAGGCAAAAACGUCAAUGUUGCGAGAUAAGCAACCAACAAGUUUUGUCUUUAGGGUGACGUCAAGAUCCCGACCAAUAGUCACCUUCUUAUCAUGCUCGAGCUCAAUUUCCAUCAAUUCUUCGACAGGGGCAAGUCUGACUUGUUGCCCGUCCUCGGGAUCCAUCCUCGAGAUUUGCAUGACGUCGUUAUUUAUUUCCCGAACGCUGGCAACAUAGCAUUGUCUGGUCUCCACGGACGACCCCAACGCCAUUACUUGUUGGAAACUUCAUGGCCAGGUGGAAGGUAGACACAAUGGCUUUAAUCUUGUUCAGGAGCGGUCUUCCCAGAAUAGCGUUGUAGGCCAUUGAGACACGUACCACUUGGAAAGAUGUCAUCUCCGUAACCUGUUUCUGGCCAGAACCCAAAGUUAGAGGAAGCUCGACGACACCCUCUGGAGUGAUGACUCCUUCCCCAAACCCCUGGAGAGGAGUUUUAACCGCUUUGAGCUGCUGAGAUGAGAUUCCCAUUUUGGAAAAAACUUCUUGUGAAAGUGUAUUGGCCGCACUCCCGUUGUCAACCAAGAUCCUCUUUACUUCAAAAUUGGCCACAAUCGCUAAGAUUACCAAGGCGUCAUCAUGUGGAAGUGAUACGCCUUCUAAGUCUCCGGUCCCAAAAGUAAUAUCCUCCAGCUUUCCAUGAGGCAUCCCAGAGGCCAAGGCAUAUUGUCGGGCAUAUUGUUUUCUUCCACUGUUGGAGUUUGGCAAUACCUCCAAUGAUGAUAUUGAUGGUUCCAGCAGUGGGUUGACCAUCCCUUUUUGCCUCAGGGUCUUUUUCCCUGCCACGAUCAUUCCUCGGGCGUUUGUUGUUACCGACAUAGGAGCUCAGGAGUCCUCUUUUAAUAAGGGCUUCAAUCUCCCGUUGCAGGGCCUUACAGUUCUCCGUGGUAUGCCCAUGAUCCCGAUGGAACUCACAGUACUUGUUCAUGUCCCUGGAUUCGGGUGGUGACCUCAUUCUGACAGGCCAUUUCAGUUCCUUCAUAUCCUUGAUCUCCAUUAAUAUAUUGGUCUUUGACGUAUUUAAACGCGUGAACGGCGUCGGGGGAACCUCCUGUCUCUGUUUUUUCCAAUGUUGUUCUUUACGGGGGUUCUGGUCAUGCUGUCUUUUAUGCUCGACUCUAUCAUGGGAUGGUCCAACCUUUCUCGGGUUCAGUGUUUCCUCCAUAUUUAUGUACUUUUCGGCUCGGGUAAGAAGCUCGGUGACUGUCUUUGGUGGAGUUUGGAUAAAGACAUCUUGAAAGCCUCGCACUUUAUGGCAUAUGUGAGGGCAGAAACUGCUGCAGUUAUGUGUAGGUCGGGAAUCUGAAGUCUUUCCUUGUUGAACCUGGUCAUGAAGCCACGUAGGGUCUCAUUUGCCCUUGUCUAAGUUGCAUGAGGGAAGCCGCUGUCUUCCUGAUGCGCUUGCUGCUUGCGAAGAAAGCGGAGAACUUGUCCGCCAAAUCUGAGAAUGAGGCUAUGGAGUUGGACUCUAAGGUUGAGAACCAAUCCCUAGCAGCAUUCGUCAAAGUUUGCGGGAAGGCCUUGCACAUCACCUGAUCUGGUGCAACCUGUAGAUUCAUGACGUCCGUGUAUAUGUUCAGAUGAUUGAUUGGAUCAGUGGUCCCAUCAUAUUCUUUGAUCCUAGGAUACUUAAAUCUGUCUGGCAAAGGAAAUGUUAAUAUCUCGGGAGUAAAUGGAGUGUUGGGACUGAAUCUUGUCGUCCCUUUGUUGCCCUGAAGUAGGCCUGCUGUAAUUCCUUCUUGAAUAAUCCUAGCGAGUUCCCCGGACUCCAUGGUCACUGAUCUCGAGGCCGAGGUCACAUGUGGUAUACCCGAGGCCCCUGUUCCGCCAUUGUCAGGGACAUGAGCUCGAGCAUUAGCCAUAAAACCCCCCUGGGGUGCCGGUGUGGGUGACGGAUGCGAAUUUCUUUGGCUUAGCAGCUGAGUCAGUGUGACGACUUGUUGUCUGAGUUCUUCAAAGGCUCCCGCAGUGACGACUGCCGGCUGGGGCUCUAGCACUUCUGAUGAUUCCUCUUGAGGAACAGGGAUAUCCUCAGGAGGGGGUUGGUUUGGAGCGGAUGAACUUGCUGGUGGAAGACCUGAACGUGUGUUUACCAUGGCUUUUGGUAGCGUUUCCCACAGACGGCGCCAAUGAUGCUACCAAAAAUCGUACCUGAUGAUUUUUCGAGCUUGAUGAUUCUGGUUGAUCACGAUCGUGGUCUUCCGGUACCUGAAACAAAGGCAACGAGUGUGUUUUCGUCGCCCCUCCCAUGCUUAAGUCAGAAAGGGAAAUAUAUGCGUGAGGCUAUGUGCUGAAGAACAAUGAAAAAACGUGCCUGAAUAAUGGCCCAAGGUUCUGCUUUUAUAGGCGUAGGCAGUGUACUCCUAGUAGGAUCGUGUUGGUUGGAUGUUUUUAUCCAAGGGAAUUUCUAUUUAUAAAGAGUGUCCUACUUGUAAUGGAAUUGUUUGACAAGCGGUAUCAGGGUUGAUGUAGAAUCCUUGGAUGUUUAGGUUUGUUUGUUAGGUACCCAGGUCUUAGGAGGCAUGUAGGUGGCGUAUGUCUCGAGAACUAUUCUCGAGGACUUGAGAGAAUGUAAAUAUGUUCUCGAGGUAUCUCAAGGACUACGAUACCUCAAGGACUUAGGGAGACCCGAGGACCAUAGCAGAGAAAUGAGAUGGGGUAUACAUGGAGUUCUCGGGAUAAACUCCUCGGGGUAUAUCAAUAUUGGCAUAGUCACUUGUCAACUACCCCGUAUGUUUGUGGAUUUUGUCGGAACAAAAUAUAUCAUUAAAAUUAAUUUUUAACUUUGAUUUAAAUUAAAAUUAAAAUUUUAAUUCCUACAAAUCGCGACUAUAUAUUUUUAUUCUAUUAAUCAUUUCAAUUUAAUAAGUCAUUGUUUGAUGAUCAUUAUUUGAAAAGAAAAUGUUUAAAUAGUAAUUUUUAGGAGAGCGUAUUGUUAAAAGUAAAAAGUAGUUUUGAGUUUAUAAGCAUAAUAUUUUAUUAUGUAAGUUAAAAAUUAGUACCAAGGAAAAAUAAGUUUCAAAUAAUAUUCUCAAACAGCGUUAAAUAGUAAUUCCCCAUUCCCUCGCCAGAGACCCAUAACAUUCUCUGUACCGAACAUUCCGAAAUUCCCUCUGUUUUUCGCACCUGUCGUCCUCUUUUACCGCCAUAACACGGCUAGAGAAAACUCAAAUUUGCAAAGGCUUCUUCAAGAAAGUGCGAUUUGCUGCAAAAUAGCUCCAGACUUCAGUACAAUCUUACAAAAUCAGUUCAUUUCAGUUGUUACACUGUGUAACUUUCACACGAUUUCGAUUUAUUCUACGUGAUACUGCUGAUUUUUACGCGUUCGCGUUUGUAGUAGUUCUCUUAGUAAUCUAGCCGUUUCAAUUUUUUUGCUGCUGUUAUUGGGGUUGAUUCUGUGCGGUUUUUGACCCUUUAUUUUCUUUAUUGGCGUAUAUUAUGUGGUGAUUGAUGCUUAAGUAUAUAAUAUUCUUUAUCUACAUAGCAUAUUACAUGGUUAUUGAUGCUUAAGGAAAAUAGGAAAUGAUUGUCCCUAAUUUAGCUUCACGUAUCUGUACUUCCCAAUUAAAUCUGUAAUUUGAGUUGCAAUGAGCAGGCGUUUGUGAGUUCAUUGAAUUAAAAUUGUAGAGCAGGUUCCACGUUAAUUUAGUACAUGCAUGACUAAUUCUACUAGUAUAAGUACUGUUAAUUUCCCCCUUUCUUGGUGCUGUUUUAAAAUUGUUUGCCAGAUGCUCAUCAUAUGUUAACUAGUGUUUUUUCCUGCUGGGUAUUAAUAGUAAUAAGCACUGGACUGUAAAAGUUAAUGAACUAAUUCGAAACAAAUUUGGGCCUUCUGAGAUCAAAUGCCCAAAUUCAAUCCAUGGGAUUUUAGUGGUCAUUGCACUUCACUCAGAUGGUUUGUGUUGUGAUGCUACCAAAAAUUCGCACCCUGGAAUAUCCCUGAGCUUGACGGCGAGAGAUGCACACAAACAGAAUCUCCAGUACCUGAAACAAAGGCGUUGAGGUGUGUCUUGUUGCCUCUCCGAUGCUUAAGUUAGAGCGUGAGGCUACAAACUAAAAAUUAUGUAAAAACAUGCCUUAAUGAUGAAUUGAGAUCAUGUAUUUAUAGUGUUGGGUAGCCUACUACUAGUAGGUUUAGGUCAUUCGAAUCUUUAAGAAUUUUACCACGCUCAAGAGUUGUAACUUGAUAGGUAUCGUGCAAUUGAUGUUUGGAUAAAGAUGAAACUCCGGUGGUAGAAUCCCACCAAGAUGAGAUGAAAUAGGUAUAUUAGGACUUAAUCUUAUCAGAAUUGAAUAAGCCUUAUCUUGUAGGAGAGUCCUGAUGAGUUAGGUGUUGUUAGAAGUAAGGUCAAGGCAUAAACUCAAGGAGACCUCCAGCCAAAGGGCAGUGUUCUAGCCCGAGGAUCCUAGAGAUGCUAUCACGAAAUGGGCAAACUUCAUCCUCAGGAUCGAAUGGUCGGGUCGUGAUGAUAUUUGUCUAUAUGAGUUUGCAUUUUACUGAUUACACCUGCUGAAGCAUAUACUUGCCAAUUUUACAAAAAAAAAAAAAAAAAAAAAAAAAAAAAAGAGAAAAAAAAAGAAAAAGAAAAUGCUGAUAACUACCUUUAUAGUAUUUUGCAGAGUUUUUAAACUAACAAGAGAUACUGAGGACACAUUAGAACUAGCAUCCCCUUAAAAUGUUAAUCAUCCAUAGUUUUUCAAAAAUAUUCCUCUGUUGAAAAUUAACAAAGUAAACACCCACUUUGAUAGCUCUUGCAAUGAUUAUAUUGAAGGCCACCUGUUCUGAAAGACGGGGCAAAGUUAUAACUAUGUCCGACUUGCUUUGAAUUUUUCUCUCUUCGUCAUUCUCUUUUAGUUGCCAUUUCAUGUCAUCUUUUCAACUAGUUAAACCAUUUAGGUUCUCUGUUGAAUUUUUAAAGGAAUGACUUGAAGUAUGAUAUUUUAUUUGAUUGUAUAGUUAUUAGCAGUGGGAAAUUAGAUGGAUUGGGUGUAAAUAGAUUUUUGAUGAAAAUUUAUUCAUCCAAUAACCAAUGGACCUUAAUAGAUGGGAUUUAAAUGGAUUAGACCAAUACGACAAUUCAAUAAGAUGCAAUUUUACAGAAUUGAAUUCAAAUUUUUAUCUACUACUGGACACAGCACGCCAACCUUCACAUCCUCAGCAAAUGGCUUGUUUAAAAAGUCAACUACUAUACCUCUUAUUAGAUUCAUUGAUUUUGACUAUAUAUUGUUAUAUUAUUUGCCUGUACUGAUUCUAUUAAUUUCUUUGUAUUAGUUCAAAAACAUAUGUAGGCAUAACUGAUACAAAACCAAGGCUGGGGAUGGGGGUGAGCAAGGGUGAAUUUCUGAAAUUAAACUAUAAACGUAUCGUGAGCUAGAGUCAUACCACUAGACCAAAUUCCACCAGUUAUCGCUUCUUUCCUUUUCUUUAUAUAAACUGUUCUAGCCAGCCUUUGAUGGUUUUGCUUCAAGAACCUUAUUCUCAAAACCAUUUGACCUAUUCCCCAUAGGCAAUCAAAGACACUUUGGUAACGUAGGCUACAGCGAAUGCUCUAGUUUUGGUUGAUAAAGAGUGAUACCUGCAUAUGAGUUGAGAAGUCCCCUCUUUAAAAAUUGAAGUUUGAGUUGUUAUAUUUGUUUUGAUUUUUGGAAAAAUAAUAAGCUAUGCACGGUAAUACACUUUGGUGUAAUGCUCAAUGGGUUUUAAUUUUCUGCAGGAUCUACAACUUCAUAGUUCUAAUGCAGUCUGUGCAAAAUUUACUUGAUUACAAUAGGAGACUUAAUUCUACCUAUACAACUUUUAUUACCAUUAUUUUUUGUUGUUAGUGGUGUUUCUGGUAAUGUUUUUCUUGCAAUAUAUCCAAACUUUAACAUUAAUGACAUGGCAUCUGUCGCUAUGUGUUGCCCACCUGAGAUUGAGCCACAGUGUCUCGUAGAUAUGUUUUACUACUCUGGCUAAUGAUUAGAGUCGAUUUAUGAUAUUUUUUAGUAAUUUAUUAUUAUUUUUUUGUCUCCCCUAAAUAUAAUUGAAAGAAACAAAAAUUAAUUUGUAGGUUUCAUGACCACCUCAAUUUGACUGGGAAUUAAACUGAGGACCUCGCAUAGCCAAAGGGAUAAUCAAGGCUUAUUUUUGUGAUUUGACAUUAUUGAAAGUAUUAACUUACUGAGGAUUAAGUUCACUUUGAGAUCCGAAAGUGAUAUGAUGUAACCGAACCAGAUAAGUGGAGUCAUUUUUCUUAUUGAAGAUGCAGGUACUCCCUGGCUGGCAUACGUUGUUUUGAAUCUUUUGAUCUGCUACUUGUAAAUUUCCUAUUAUUCAACUGAGCACAGCAAAUUUCGCAGGUCAGUGCCAGUACCAUUUACUAAUCAUGCUUCAGUUUCAGGAUUAGUUAUUUGGUGCAAAAAUUAAUUUCCACAGUGAGCAGUCAGUAUCUCUGUUAUUUUGGUGGUUAUAUAUUAUUAAAAUAUACAUUUUAAAUAUUCUGCUUCCACAAAAAUUAAUAUUUCUACAGUGAGCAGUCAGUAUCUCUGUUAUUUUGGUGGUUAUUUAUUACUAAAAUAUACAUUUUAAAUAUUCUGCUUCUGACCACACCUUGAAGUAAUAAUCUCUCAUUUUCUAUAAUCUGAAUCCAUGUAUUGUAGAAUCUUUCCAGAAGGACAUUGUAUUUGUGUCCAGAAAAUGCCCUUGUGCAGAGGUUCUCGUUCUCAUAUCUGAUGGCUUUACAACCAGAAACAGCAUUAGAUAGAGCUUUGAAAAUGAAUUAGGCAGCUAAAUAACUAUCUUCUGAUUCAGUUACAUUAUUGAGUCAGGUCACUGAAUCAACAAUAUUUAGUCCUUUCAGUGUGCAGUACAGUUUCCUCAUAAUGUUACAUAAUUGAGGUAAUUGAACAACUAUGUCUUAAUAGUUAACAAGGUUGCAUUAUUAAAUCUAGCUUUAGCAUUUGGAAUACCUGUGCUGGAUACUCUGUUUAUAAGUCUUGUUUCUUUUAUUUACAAUCAGACCUGUCCAGGUUGACAAGGGAAUAAAAAGGUGCUCUACGGCUGACAGAUAAUUUGUAAAAUGGGGCAUACGAGAAUUGAAAUCAGGACCUCCUGCAGCCGAAGUGAGAAUCAUACCACUAGACCAAAUGCGUUGUUGUAGUAGAAAAUUGUGUUCCUUGGACCUUGUUAUUUGCUUCUUGCUUUUUCUAAACUGUUCUAGAUCAGAAGAAGCUUUGAUGCCAGAAGCUAUAAUUAACAGACAGUUCUCUAGUUUUGGACAAUAAAAAAUGCAAAUGUGCAUAGAGUUUGUGACUUGUGAAGUUUCUUUUUAAAAUUGCAAUUUGAGUCGUGAAAAAUUUUUUCACCAUGCAGGGUAAUAGACUUUGGGAUAAUACUUGAUGUGGUGUAAUAAUAUGCAGGAUGUUUUGUAUGGGUGCUACUGCUUCCCUUGUCAUGUAUUCAUACUAGUUAAUAUUUAUGUUAUCGCCUCAGCCGCAAUCUGUUAACCUAGUCCUUGUUUGAUCCAUCUCAGUGUCUUGGAGAACUCUUUGUUCAUAGGGCUGCUGCUGCUAAUGCUUUUCUUUUGAUGUAUGCAUACUUGUGUUAGAAUUUUAUGGUAGGGGCCUUGGCCACAAUCUAUUGACCUUGUCCCUUUUUGAUCCAUAUCAGUAUCUUACAGAAGACCUCUGUUACCACUUUUGCAUAAUGACUGAGUUGACUUCACAUAUGACAUUAGGAGGCUUCCACCCGGAAUACAGAAUUGAGGAAUGCAAUUGUCAUUGUAGGUAUUUCAACAGAAAUUCAGUGACUAGUGGAAUUGUAAAUGAUAUGAUAUUGGAUAAUAGUAAUAAUACUGUAGAGGAAAUUAACAAUGUAAUAUGGAAAAGAGAGAUGACACCAGGCAUUCAAAAAGCCUGAGAUCACUCCCAGUUUUCUUUCAGAGAGUAUGGAUGAAUGAAAUAAUAUAAUUCCCUUCUCCCUUUAUCUAUGGUGAGAUUGCGCCACACUUAUUCAAGAAAUUUCCCCCCAACUUUCUCCCUCAAUCAACUCACAAAUUGUUAAAACAAUUUCAACAUAAUUACAAAUUCAACUCGAUUAAAUCUCUGGCAACAUGGACUCCUCUUUCCUUGCGUGAAUCAGUGACAUGAGCUUCCAGUUCUUCCCCUUUAGCUUGAUUUGCCCUUUUUUCUUCCUAGCAUAGGUGAAUUGAACCAGUGGCUUAUCAGAUAUCUUAUACUUGUUUUGCUGAAAAAUGGUUGAAAUAAAUUAAUAAAAGAAUAUAUAUUUAGGAUAAAUGACCACCUUAAUUUGAAUGGGGCAUUCUGAGAAUCGAACUCUGGACCUCUUGCACCAAAGCGAGAAUCAUACCGCUAAUGCCCAGUUGUAGUCAAUUAUUUUGUCCUUGAAGCCUGUAAUUUCUUGCUGUUUCUGUUUGUCGAUAGAUAAGGUAGGGGUAUUGCCAACACUACCACCACCACUCUGGGAUCUAGGUGGAGGCCUAACAGUCUCCUUGGCUUUGACGGUGUUUCAGAUUAAAAACAAAAUCUGUUCUAGUCAGCCUUUCGACUAAGCUCUUUGAUCUAUUCAUCAUAGGCAAUCAAAGGGAACUUUGAUCUCAGAAUCUACUAUUAAAAGAUAGUUCUCUAGUUUUGGGUGAUAAAAAGUUCCUACGUGCAUAUGUUGUUGCGAAGCACCUGUUUUAAAUUGCAGUCUGAGUUGUGAAAAUAUAAUGAUCUGUGGAAGGUAAUAGAAAUUAGAAUAAAUGCUCAAUGUGGGGUAAUUUUGUGAAGGAUUAUUUCCAGUGUUGCAGCUGCGCUAAUGCUUUCUUGAAAUAUAUUCAUACUUUUUAAUAUAUAUGAAUGAUAUGACCUCGGCCGCAAUCUGUUGACCUUGCCUAAGUUUGAUCAAUCUCAAUUUUUUGGAGAAGAUCUUUUUUACCACUCUGGCUUAAUGACUUAGUUGACUUUGUAUAUCAUCCUUGCUUUCUUGAAAUGUAUUCAUACUUUUUAAUAUAUAUGACAUGACCUUGGCCGCAAUCUGUUCACCUUGCCCAAGUUUGAUCAAUCUCAAUUUUUUGGAGAAGAUCUAUUUUACCACUCUGGCAUAAUGACUGACUUUGUAUGUCAUCCUUGUUUCACUGAAAUUUAGUUGAAAGAAAGGGGGAAAAAAAAAAAAAAAAAAGAAGAAGAAUGCGUAAACACCUUAAUUUGAUUGAGGCAUUCCGAGAAUCGAACUCGGGACCUCUCGCACCCAAAGCGAGAAUCAUACCACUAGACCAAAUGCCCUUCUAUUAAUUGUUUUGAACCUUGGAGCUUGACAGCUUGUCAUUUCUUGCUUGUCUGUAUAUUAGCUGUUCUAGACUGCUUUUUGAGUAUUAUUUUUCUAGGAGCACAUUUCACAAAAGAAUUUUAUCUAUUGAUCGUAGGAAAUGAAAGGGAGCCUUGAUCUCAGAAGCUAUAUUUAAUAGACAGUUUUUUAGUUUUUUGUGAUAGAAAGUUGCUACAUGCAUAUGUGUUGUGAAUACCAUUUUUAAAUUGCAAUCAGAGUCAUGGAAAAAUAACGAGCUAUGCAAUGUGUAAUUUUAUGAAGGAUUGUUUCUAGUGCUGCUGCUGCUUUUUCUUCACGCGUAUUCGUACUUAUUUAUAUUUAGCCUGAGUUUGAUCCAUCUCAGUGUCUUGGAGAAGAUUUGUUUUACCAUUCUAGCAUAAUGACUGAGUUGAUUUCAUUUAUGAUAUUUCCCACAAAAUUUAGUUGGAAAAAAAAAAAAAAAAGGUAGGAUUGAUGACCACCUAAAUUUGACUGGGCAUUCAGAAAAUCGAACUCAGGAUUUGCCCCUAAAGCAAGAAUCGCUUUUUGGACACUCAGCUAAUUCUUUACUCCACAUAAGUAUAGAAUGCUCUGGGUUAGCAAGUAUGGAAAUGAAGAAAAAAUUUAUGUUGCCAGUGUCACUAUCACUAUUAUAUAUCUAGAAUUUAUAUUUCCAAAUUUUGGUACGAAUCCAUACUGUAUGCAUCCUGUUUCAGUAGAAUGAACUGCUGACAGAAUUUGCUUUGGUUUUUCACAUGCAGCUGGGCAAGGAUUGACAAGAAGCUGAAGGUUCAAUUUUGUAUUUAACAAGUCACCUUCUUGCCACACAGAAGUGCACAUGUACAUGCUCAAGGUUUUUUUUUUGCAUGAUUUGACAUUCUCAUAAUCAUCUAAUUGUUGUGGUGAGAUCAUACUAUUUUUCUUAUUGAUGACGCAGGUAAUCGCUGUCUGAUAUGUUUUGUUUCAGUAGCUGCGUCGUGCAGGACGAGUUGCCUAGGUGAGCUUAGUGUCAACUAUUAUAUGCGCUUGAAUUUCUGUAUCUUUCUAAGUUGACUAUUGUUUGUAAAUUGUUUAUAAUAGGUCAAACCACAUUUUAUCCACAUAUUUCGUGGAACCUACAAGUACGACCCACUUAUUUGCCACUCAUUUCUAUUUAUUUAUAAUUUAAACCAUUUAAAAACAACUCCCAAGCACGUUUUAAAAUAUUUCCAUUUUUCUACUGUGGACCAUCAAUGGACCUGUUAUUUGGUAGAAUCUUUUCAACAGUUUUGUGCUGAGGUUCCUCAUAAACUUUGUAUUGAUGACUCCAGAGCUGAUAAUAUCAACAAUAUUUAAACCUUUCAGUAGGGCAAUAAAUAUUUUAUGCUUAGAAGACAGGCAAGUGAAUUGUCAAUAGAUAGACCGUUCAGUGGGGAGUAACUGUUUCCUCAUAAUGUUACAUUAUUGAGGCAAUUGAAUUGACAGUAUAUUAUCUUUCCAGUGUGGAAACAACGGUCUUAAAAAUUUUACAUUAUUAAAUCUAGCUUUCGCAUAUGCAAUAUCAGUUUCAGAUGUAAAUUUUUUUUUUCUCUGUCUUGAUUCUUUUAUUUACAAGCAGAUCUGUCCUGCUUGACUAGGAAGUAAAAAGGUGCUUUGUGGCUGACUAAACUAUUGCAUAAAAUGGGGCAUUCUGAGAAUUGAACUUCGGACCUCUUGCACCCGAAACGAGAACCAUACCACUAGAUCAAAUGCCCUGUUGAAUUUUAUUACUCUGUCCCUUGGAUCAUGAACCUGUUUUACAAGUCUGACCUGACGAAGGAUGAACCAAAUCGAACAAACCUUAGAGUUGUAUGAGAAUUGUAGAAGAAUGGAAAAAGCGAAGAGGAGAAAGAAGGGGGAGAGAGGGAAAAAAUAGAUAGCCAGGAGAGAGAGUGCUGUAAUUUUAUUCAAUAAUCAAAAGGCCUCUAACAAUAAAAAACCACCUUCAUUCUUAUACCAGAAAUCCCGAUGAAAAUAUGGAACAUUACCUAAUAAUUAAGGAAAGGGAAUAAAGUAAAUCACUCUAAAUAAUUAUAAAAUAAUUCUUAUUCUACUCAAUGGCAAGUCUUUCACAAUUAUCUUUAUUGAUCUCCAUCAUGGCCUCUCAUUACAUUACCUGGGAUUGUUAAUUGGUAUAACUGGUAAGUGCUUGACAGGAUAUGUGAUGUUUAACAAUGUAACAAAAAUUUGCUUUUUUUCAUUUUCCCUAUACUGACUCCAAAAUGCACUUCAUUUCUCAAUUGUUCUUCUUGGAGAUUGUCAAUUAUGAUAAUUGUUUUUCCUUGUAGUUGAUUUAUUGAGACUUUAAGAAAAAAAUUGUACAGGAUUCAUGAUCACCUUAAUUUGAAUGGGGCAUUCCGAGAAUCGAACUCGGGACCUCUCGCACCCAAAACGAGAAUCAUACCACUAGACCAAAUGCCCUGCUGUAGUCAAUUCUUUUGCCCCUUGAAGCUUGUAAUUUGCUUCUUGCUUGUCAAGUAUAUAAACUGUUCUGGUCUGCCUUUUGACUAUUAUGCUUCCAGACAAGAGUAUGUCACAAAACCCUUUGAUCUAUUCCCCAUGGGCAAUCAAAGGCAGUAUUGAUCUCAGAGGCUACAAUUAACAGUCAACGAGGCAGUUCUCUGGUUUUGGACUAUAAAAAGUGCCUACGUGCAUUCAAAAUGUGAAGUUACUUUUCUGAAAUUGCAAUUUGAGUUAUAUUAUUCAUGAAAAAUUCUUUAAAAAAAAAUUAUUCAUGAAAAAUUAUAAACUGUGAAUGGUAAAAGACUUUUGUGUAAUUCUCAAUGUGGUGUAAAUUUGUGCAGGAUUGUUUGUAGUGAUGCUGGUGCUGCUAAUACUUUUCUUGAAAUGUAAACAUACUUUUUAAUAUUUAUCGUAUGGCUUCGGCAGCAAUCAACAGACCUAGCUCAAGUUUGAUCCAUCCCAGUGUCUUGGCGAAGAUCUGUUAACCAGUUUUGUAUAAUGAAAGAGUUGACUUCAUUUAUGAUAUUUCAUCCUUGUUUCCAUUAAAUUUAAUUAAAAGAAAUAAUAAAAAGAAGUGUAGGAUUCAUAAUCACCUUAAUUUGACUGGGGCAUUCCAAGAGUCGAACUUGGGACCUCUCGCACCCUAAGCGAGAAUCAUACCACUAGACCAAAUGCCCAAUUACUGAUGAUUUUAGCACUCAAAUAAAUCUUUACUCCACAUAAUAAAUAGUAAACACUGGGUGAAGGAAAAUUUUAUGUCUCCAGUGUUGCCAAUCAUUGCGAUAUAUCUAGACUAUAUUCUUCCAAAUUUUGGAAUGUAUACAUACUGUAUACCUCCUGUACAGGUAGAAUGUACUGCUGACAAAAUUUUAUUUCCUCUUGGCCCCUACUCCAAUGUCGUUUAGAUCUCUGGAAAAAAAUAUGCACGUGCUGGUUAAAAAUGUUUUCAUAUGAAGCUGGGCAAGGAGCAACAAGAAGCUGAAGUUUCAGUAUUGGAUUUCAUGCAUUCACCUUCAUGCCAUGCAGAUGUACACAUGUACAUGCUCUCAAGGCUUAUUUGCAUACUAUUUUUCUCAUUGCUGAUGCUGGUAAUUCCUGGCUGACAUGUGUUGUCAAUAGCAGCUGCUUUUAAAUACCUUAUUAUGCGACGCACAGUGAAUUGUGCAGGUGAGCUUAGCGUCAAUUGAUUAAGUUUGCUUCAAUUUUUGUAUCUUGCUAAGUUAUUUGAUGCCAAAACUUAAUAUUUCUAUUUACCGUCGUGGACUUUCAAUACCUCUGUUAUUUGGUUUUUAUAUGCGGUUUAGAGUAAUACACUAAUUCUUGAUGCUUCUUGAUGUAAUAAUAUUCCGUUUUCUAUAUUUUUAGUCUAUAUUUAGUACAAUCUUGUCAGCAUCCUUUGUUUUGAGGUUCCUCUUAAACUUUGGAUCUAUUGACUCUAGAAGUGAUAGAAUCAGCAUUAUUUAAUUAAACCUUUCAGUAGGGCAAUAAUUUUUUUGUGCAUAGGUUGCAUUAUUGAGGGAAGAUAUUGAAUCAAUAAUAUCGAGACCUUUCAGUGGGCAGUCACUUUUUCCUCAUCAUGUAACAUUAUUGAGGCAAUUGAGUCGACAAUAUAUAAUCAUUCCAGUAUCCCAUCAAUUGUCAUAAUAAGGUUUACAUUAUUAAAUCUAGUUUUAGCACUUUGUGAUGUUAAUGUUAGUUAAUUUUUGUUUUCAGUCUUUGAUUCUUUUAUUUCAUAGCAGAUCUGUACAGGUUUGACUAGGAAAUAAAAAAAUUCUUUCUGGUUGACUAAAAUAAUUCAUAAAAUGGGGCAUUCCGAGAAUCGAACUCGGGACCUCUCGCACCCAAAGCGAGAAUCAUACCACUAGACCAAAUGCCCUAUUACUUAUGAUUUUUAGCACUCAUCUAAAUAUUUACUCCACAUAAGUAGUCGUAUACACUGGGUUAAUAAGUCUUGAAGUGAAGGAAAUUUCUUUUUUUUUGGUCUCCAGUGUCACUAUCAUUGUUAUAUGUCUUGAAUUUAUUUAUUUAUUUAUUUUUUUCAAAUUUGUGUAUGCAAUACAUCCUGUUCCUGUAUUAUGAACUGCUGACAGAAUUUUAUUUCCUCUUGUUCCAUACUCCAAUGUCAUUCACAUCUCUGGAAGUAAAGAAAAUAUUCACGUGCUGGUUAAAACUGUUUUCACGUGAAGCUAGGCAAGGAGCGUCAAGAAGCUGAAGCCUCACAGUAGGAUUUCAUACAUUUGCCUUCUUGCCACACAGAUGCAUACACGCACAUGCUCGAAUUUUACAUACUCUUAGUUAUCUAAUUGAUUUGGAUAUAUCAUACUAUUUUUUUUUUUUUUAAUUGAAAAUGCAGGUAAUUCCUGGCUGACAUUGUUUCAACGGCCGUUGCUUUUAAAUAUCCAAUUAUGAAAAGGAGCACGGUGAAUUGUGCAGGUGAGCUUAGUGUCAUUGAUUAAAUUCACUUGAAUUUAUGUAUCUUGCUAAAUUAUUUGAUGCCAAAACUUGAUAUUUCUAUUUCCCAUAGUGGACUUUCAAUACCCCUAUUAUUUGGUUUUUAUAUUUACUAAAAUAUGCAGUUUUUAAUAGCAAACUGAUUCUUGAUUUUUCCUUGACAGAGUAAUAUCCCUUUUUCUAUAUUCUUAGUCACAUUUAGUAGAAUCUUGUCGGCAACCUUUGUGCUGAGGUUCCUUUUAAACUUUGAAUCUGAUGACACUGGAAGUGAUAGGGCAAUAAAUUUUUCAUGCAUAGGUUGAAUUAUUUAGACCAGCAACUGAAUCAAUAAUAUUAAGACCUUUCAGAGGGCAGUAACUGUUUCCUCAAAAUAUUACAUUAUUGAGGCAAUUGAGUCAACAAUACAUAAUCCUUCCAGUAACCCAUCAACUAUAUAUUAAUAAGUUUUACAUUAUCUAGCUUUAGCACCUGUGAUAUUAAUAUUAGUUUAUUUUUGUUUUAAGUGUGUGAUUCUUUAAUUUGAUAGCAGAUCUGUCCAGGUUUGACUAGGAAAUAAAAAAGUGCUUUGUGGUUGACAAAAAUAAUUCAUAAAAUGGGGCAUUCCGAGAAUCGAACUCGGGACCUCUCGCACCCAAAGCGAGAAUCAUACCACUAGACCAAAUGCCCUGUUAUUACUAUGUUCCUUGCAACACGAACUUGUUUGACAAGUCUGACCUCCACUGUGGUAUUUAUUACAGUUCUAUUUACUGAACUCAUUUUUUCCAGCGUGAUACUGAAGUUUGGGUUUAGUUUGAUGUCAGAUGUGCAAGACAUUAAUUGUUAAUGCCAUGAAACAACACAAAAAGCAAACUUCACCACUUUAAAAUAAAAUAAAGUUAAAUGACUAAUAUAAAACUUCACUAAUAAUGUUUUGAACCCAUUUUUAUUCUACAUCAACUUGAAAUGGGGGUCAAAUUUUAAAUUUUUAACAUUCAUUUUGUUCUGAAAUCAGGGUUUGUAAGAUUUGUUAUGUUAUUCUAGUUUGACUAUUUAUGGUUGAUCUGAAUGAUUUCAUAUUUUUUAUUAGUUAAACCACUAAUUUAAUGAUCAUUUGAAACGAGAAUGUUUUUAAACAUUGAAGCACUUGGAAUAUACAAACCGCAGCUGUUAGAAACAUCUGUUCAUCAAUUUCUCUUGGCAAGCGGACCUGUUUUGAGGGGCUUUCCAAGAACUGAACUCUGGGACCUCUCCCCUUGGAAACGGACUGUUUUAUUUAUUAAUAUUCAGUAAAAUACUUCUAUGAAUAGAGAAAUUGUGUCAUAUUCGAGUUUUCAUUUCUUACAGAUUUCUAAUAGAUUUUGGGAUUAUUAGCAUGAUAAAAGACUCGUAUGUUUUAACCUUUCAAACUAAAUAAUAGUAUGAAUUGGGUGUAAGGUGCUGGCUUUGGGUUGGAAUUGCUUAAAGUUCGCCCAAAUAAUUGCUGAAUGGCCAUAAUUAUCAUCUCCCUCACCCGUAAUUGAUUGCAGCUCACAAUUUGCUCCUUUUCAGUCUGCUUUUUACCCCUACCAUAGGCCCUUAAUGAAAUAUAAUCAAUGAGAAAAAGUUUGGUGAGUGAACGGAAGAAGAGUUGUACAAAAAUUCUUUUUGUUCUCUCUCUCACUCUUGUUACUUGCUAGGGAUCUUUUCAUGUAAAACAAAUGGCCUUUGCUGGAACGACACAGAAAUGCACUGCUUGUAGCAAGACUGUAUAUUUAGUAGAUCGGCUGGCAGCCCCGCCAACUGGGUAUCCACCAUUGCAAUAAUACCCUGAAGGUAUUUGUAAUUUAUCAAAGGAAGCAUUAUUAUAUAUUUUUCAAUAUAUCCUUUGAGGGCAGGUUUAAUGUUUCAUUUUAUUUUCUCCUUUUCAGCUCAGCAAUUUCAACUCCUUUGAGGGGGUCGUGUAUUGCAGUCCUCACUUUGAUCAGAUCUUCGAGAGAACUGGCAGCCUGGAGAAGAGUUUCGAAGGUAGAAGAACCAUAUAUGAAAUCUAAUUUACCUUAUUUCUAUAAUUAUAUCUUCCAAACUAUAUCUCAGUGUUCUGCACUCGUCUAAAAUUUCUUCCAGGGACACCAAAAAUCUUGAAACCCGGAAAGCUAGUUGACAAUGAGGUAAUCUGCUUCUUGCUAAAGCAGAAAUUUAGAUUAUUCAAAUUUUGGAUCUUACACAUUGGGG